GUCUCAUCUUCGCGAUUUUGAAACUGGAAGAAAGAAAAGAAAACAGAAACCAUUAGUUUUUCACUGCCACCGUAAUUGAACCCUCUCGAGAUGAACACAACACAGCACACAGCAAGUUAGAGCGUCAUUUCGUCGAAUUCGAAUUUAGCAGAUCCAUGGCUUACUAUGUGUAGAUGACGACAUGGAAGCAACUGAAGCAGCUUCAUCGACCGUCACUUUUUUGGGGAUUUUCCCAAAAGCUCUUCAAACAUUCGCAAACACGCAACUGUUUCAAUGCACAGCGCAGCAGGCGAAGAUGAUACUUCAAAGCGAGGAGACAUUUAAGCGGCAGGAGACCUCAUGCUAGACUAAGAAGGUAGAAGAAUGUAGAGACGAUGAUAGGUAAAGUGGCUCAAUUGUCUUGUCGCUGUAGUAGUACCGAAGACGGAUCCAGCUGUACUCGAAAACUGAAUGUUGACAUUGUUUCCUAAUAAGAAAUCGCAAUCGUGAGCACUCGCUUGGCGUACGUGUGCCCCGGAGCACUUUGAGAAUUGUCAUUUGCGUACGCGAAUGUCUCCGAUUCCAGUGGCAGCGAAGGUUCAAACCGUCAAAUGCGUCUGCUGGUUGAAGAAGUAGUCGGAGCACUCGAAGCCACUAAAAGUAUGUCAAUUAGCUGUCCAUCCUGCAGACCGUGUGUGUGUUUGCAUGCGUCCGAAAGGAAUCCUGACACUGGAUGCUCCCCAGCUGUACCGUAUUGCUUUUGGCCGCGAUUCGCCGCUAUCCCGUCAUCGUUUCACAUCCGGCAAGCCAACGACAACGCAUCGCAUUCAAAGUCCCUGCCCGGCAGCGCGCGCACACACAGGUAAGCAGCAGCCCCACAUCCCUCCCUGUCUGUUGAGUGCGUCGGAAGCAAACGAAAACAAAUGAAACGGCGCGAAUGUCCGCGCAAAGCAGGGAAAAAUGGCAGUGGCUCAAUUUAACACGCGGGGUGAGUUCAUAAAUGUGGAUAAAAAUAAACAUCGUCUCAUGUUUGCAUGCUGCGCGAAUGGUCUUUUGGCCGAUGCCUCACCACCUCGCGGUCGCAGCAAGUGGGCAUCGCUGGUUUGUUGAUUAGAGACGGAGGCUUCCUCGUGCUGCGUGGUAGUGGCUCUGUGCCUGUCUCCCUCCCCUUCACACCCGGGGCGAGGUGAGUGCGAUUGUAUCGAAGUCAACCACUACGCUACGCUCUCCAUACGCCAAGACACCCCGACGGCACUUCCAAACGGGUGCCGUCGAGUAGGCACUGGCAUUGACAUUGACAGACAACUCAUAUACACCGUCGUCUCCCGGUUGCUGCGAUCGUAAUCGGCAUGCCCGUAGCGUUUUGGUCAAAUUUUGCUCGUACUCAGCAGAAAGCACUCUGCGUGCGCCCGCUCCGUUGUCUGCCAGUAGGCAAAUUCGCGUCUCUGUGUGUGUGUGUUUUUCGAGAAAAGAGGUGCAAAGGUGGCUGCUUGAGGACGAAGGAGAAGUGAGUGUGUCAUUACCCCGAAACGACGCAGUUUAGCUGAAUGUGAUAUGUUGUAUGUUUUGUGCCAACCAACCCAAAAUUCGCCACCACAAAACUUGUUUGCUUGCCGCGAGAGCACCGACCGCGCACACACAUUCCACCCGCUUGUUUGUGUGUUUUGGGUGACGUUUGUUGGGUGCAGGUGACGGUGCGAUAAUUGCAUCUGCAUCACUUCCACCCUUCAUGGGGAGAGGGAGGGUACACAGCGGCCACGAAAAAGGUGCGAAAUCUGACAAACGGCUGCUAAACGAUGCAUCCACAAACAGCUUGUUUUAAUGCACGCAUCAUGCAGAUCUAUCUUCCGGAUGUUCGGUACAUUUAGAUCGGGCCGUUAGUCCGUUAGUCUGCUUGCAGUGGGAAAGAGGGAGGGUUUGAAUUUAUUGACACAACAGCAUUAAGCAGAGCAAAAUCCGGCCCCUAGUUUAAUGGGCUGAAAUUUGUCAAAUUCGGUCAAUUCUCUGCUCGACGGCUCAGCGUGAAAUAUGUGUGGAUCACCACACUAGAUCUCUUGCACAUCUGUCCUAGGCGCCCUCUUUUCACCCACCACCGAAACACAAAACACACAUCCACACACACGUUGCAUAACUUUCACACGCUCACCACACACUGUCGCACGUGCGCCCCAUUCCCCUGCCCGGCAUAAGAAAAGAAUGGCCCUUUUUUGCCGGGUCGGGUGCGUGCCAUGAUUUAGGAAACAUGAAACUAUAUCUCUUUCUUAUACACCCCC